AAAAAAAAAACAUUCUUGGCUGGGCACGGUGGCUCAUGCCUGUAAUCCUAGCACUUUGGGAGGGCCGAGGUGGGCAGAUCACCUGAGGUGAGGAGUCCGAGACCAGCCUGACUAUUAUGAAACCCUGUCUCUAAUAAAAAUACAAAAUUAGCUGGACGUGGUAGCACGCACCUGUAAUCCCAGCUACUCGGGAGGCUGAGGCAGGAGAAUCACUUGAAUCCAGGAGGCAGAGGUUGCAGUGAGCUGAGAUCACGCCAUUGCACUGCAGCCUGGGCAACAAGAGCCAAAUUCUAUCUCAAAAACCAAACCAAACCAACACACACACACACACACACACACACACACACACACACACACACACACACACAAAAAUUAAAAACCAUUCUCAAAGACACUGUCACCCCAGGCUUCUUUCCGUGGGCAUGGGGUGGCCGGACCUUGCCUUUUUCAUCUGGGCAAUAGAGUGUUCUUCAGAGAUUGCCCGCAGGAUCGAGAUCCAAACCCCAGGGCUAACCAAGAGAGGUUUCCCACUUCUUUCUUGUGGCCCACACUGACACCCACACCCUGAAGCCAACAGUGAGGUCUGCUCCCUUGAUCACCAAAGGGGAAAGAGGGGACUGGAGAGAGCAGCGGAAUGAAAGUCCUUUCAAGUUCACUGUUGUGACAAACCUGGAGACCAGAAAUAGAAAUAGGGAAGCCUGGCCUUGAUGCGGGCUGACCAGAGGCCACAGGUCUCCCACUUCUUCUUCACAGUGCUGGAGGCUUCACAGGCUUUUCCCAGGGAAGCCCAGUGUCUGUCCUGGAAAGAGACUGGUUCUCAAACCCUUGGAAUGCGGAUCCAGUACCCUAGGCACCUGAUUGUACCUGGUCCCCAGGCAAAGCGUGAGGAUGAUGGGGUCUCCAGGCCCCUGGGAGCUGCACCGCCUUCACACCUGGACACCGACUGCAUCUUUCUUUAGGUUCUCCUCUGUUUCCGUGAGCCACAAGCAGCUGGGCCCUGCAGGAGAUCCCAGCCCACCCAGCCCAACUCUGUCCACCUGGUCUCGCUGUUCUAAGGCUUCCUGGAGAGGGCAGCGUGAAUUUGGAGUGAAGUGUUGCCCAUGCUGCAAGCCCCACUCAGCCUGAGAGAGAAGGAGCCCUGGUUCCCUGAGCCCAGGUCCAAAUGCUGCUAGAGAGGCCCUCAGAUCCUAGGUCUGCUAAAUUGUCACCCGCUCUUCCUCAGCUACCAACAGCAGAAGCCAAGUGGGCAGCUUUACAGAUGUUGAGCUUUUGGUUCCUCAGCAGAUGGCUGCAGUCGGACCUGGGGCCUCCAAACUGCAAUGUACAGUACAUCCAGUGUUUGCCAAGGGAAACCACUGAGGGAGGACUACUUUUUCAUUACAAUAGGGAUGAAGGAAUGAAGAGAUCAAAGGACAGCAAAGACAUGGAAUGGAACUUCAGUGGUAUUUGAGUGUUUAUGAGUCUGUGCAUGAGAGAAGAGGAGAAAGACACUGCAGGUAAAAGGAAAACCUACAGGUUUCUUCUUGUUCCGAGGCAUCUGUGGUUAGAAAAGGACUUUGGUGUUUAUUCUCAAUUUUUCUGAGGUCUCAGCUCAAUUUCCCCAAUCAGUUCAAGCUUAUUAGCAAAGAGCACAACAGUAGGGAGAAGGGGUCUCCAGUGGAGUCUGGAGGAGAUCUUGGAGAACCACUGGACCUGAGGUUUUGCCAAGUUCAAGACAGCGUGUGCACGGAGCUUGAUUGGCAUAUGGAUCUGCCGGUCC
ensembl:lncRNA